UAGCUCAGCGGAUAGAGCAGGUGCCCUCUAAGUACUUGGCCGCAGGUUCGAGUCCCACCUGCG
rnacentral:tRNA from 1 species